AUACUUACCUGGCAGAGAGGAUUCCAUGAUCACACAGGUGAUUUCCCCAGGGUGAGGCUUAUCCACAGCACUCUUGAUGGGCUGACUCCUGCGAUUUCCCCAAAUGUGGGGAAACUCCACUGCAUAAUUUGUGGUGGUAGGGGACUGUAUUUGCCCUCUCCUCUA